rnacentral:lncRNA from 1 species
CGCGAGUGAUACAACUCGCCAUAGCGAGUAGCCUUGUGAAAAUCUGGAUUUUAAAAAUGUUGUUACAAGCCGUAUUUUGGGUAGUUUCAUGUGCCUAGAUGAUUUUUAAGAAGACUGGAGCAAGUUUUAGGUUUAAAAGAUGAUUAGGGAGCUUAGAAUUGAGGUUUGAGUGAGAAAAAUAUCAUUUUUCCCGAGAGCACCAUAUUUCUGUUCGCCUCGAACUCGCCAUGGCGAGUACCUUAUUUCCUGAGCUCGCCAUAGCGAGCAGAUGUGCUCGCGAGGCGAGCUGCCCAGAAUUUUGUUGGUUUGACUUCUGCUGUUGAUGGUUGAUUUAUCUUGUUGAUUAAGCAUGG